rnacentral:rRNA from 1 species
AAGCGGCAACAGCUCAAAUUUGAAAUCUGGCUCUCGGGCCCGAGUUGUAAUUUGUAGAGGAUACUUUUGAUGCGGUGCCUUCCGAGUUCCCUGGAACGGGACGCCAUAGAGGGUGAGAGCCCCGUCUGGUUGGAUGCCAAAUCUCUGUAAAGUUCCUUCGACGAGUCGAGUAGUUUGGGAAUGCUGCUCUAAAUGGGAGGUAUAUGUCUUCUAAAGCUAAAUAUUGGCCAGAGACCGAUAGCGCACAAGUAGAGUGAUCGAAAGAUGAAAAGCACUUUGAAAAGAGAGUUAAAAAGUACGUGAAAUUGUUGAAAGGGAAGCGUUUAUGACCAGACUUGGACUUGGUUAAUCAUCUGGGGUUCUCCCCAGUGCACUUCUCCAGUUCAGGCCAGCAUCAGUUUUCGCCGGGGGAUAAAGGCAGCGGGAAUGUGGCUCUCUUCGGGGAGUGUUAUAGCCCGUUGUGUAAUACCCUGGUGGGGACUGAGGUUCG